rnacentral:lncRNA from 1 species
UAUGCGUGUUCACCUCUGUGAACUCAACAGCUGCCCAAUAAUUACAGAAUUUGCUGAUAUCAGUGACCGUAUUAAUUCAUGUGAAUUUGUACACAACAAAACCCAUCAGUGUGUGCACACGCAGCUCAGUGAACCCACGUUUCUCACAUGAUUGAUGUGGGGUGUGGCAGAAUCACAUGUGGUGGUAAAAGACCCAUUCAGAGUGCAAAAGAGAACAGCUUUAACGUGCAGCAGGGAAAGCUCAGAUUUGGUUCUAGACACCACGGUUCAGCGAACCUUUAAAAAAGUGGCACUCGUCGAGUUUUGGUGUCAAAGAAUUCCCAUGGUUACUGAAAAGGCAAAAUUACAAUACCCCUCCCCCGGGAGAAGAGGCUGUUACGGUACCCCUCCCCCGGGAGAAGAGGCUGUUACGGUACCCCUCCCCCGGGAGAAGAGGGUGUUACGGUACCCCUCCCCCGGGAGAAGAAGGUGUUACGGUAAUCCACCAUACAUUAUCGGUGUGAGGCCAGAUUUUCUUCAUAUAGUUCAAUCAAAACAUCACAGUAGACUGGAUACGGAGGCACACAGGUUCCCCUCUGGCCCACGCAGCCAAGUGUUACAGUGACAGCGAACACAUAAAAUCAUGCCCUAGUUUCCAGAGUUGUUUUGUUUUGGAAUUUAUAGAUAACUUCAUAAAAGAUGUCGUUGGCCGGGUGCGGUGACUCACGCCUGUAAUCCCAGCACUUUCGGAGGCUGAGACGGGCAGAUCAAGAUGUCAGGAGAUCGAGACCAUCCUGGCUAACACAGUGAAACCCUGUCUCUACUAAAAAUACAAAAAAUUAGCCGGGCGUGGUGGCGGACACCUGUAGUCGCAGCUACUCAGGAGGCUGAGGCAGGAGAAUGGCGUGAACCAGGGAGGCGGAGCUUGCGGUGAGCCGAGAUUGCACCACUGCACUCCAGCCUGGGUGAUAGAGCGAGAUUCCACCUCAAAAAAAAAAAAAAACACCAACAAAACGUGUUGUUUAUGUUAACAUACAGUGAGUUUAUUGUAGUUACUAUUGACUUGAUAAAUAUAUUUAGAUAAAUAUUUUUAAAUAUUCUCCAAUUUCUUUUGAAUUUGGUAAGUAUCAAUAACCAUUACCUACAUAAACAGAAGCUCUUGGGGUCCUGAAUGACUUUUAAAAAUCUUUAAUUCUAGCCGGGUGCGGUGGCUCACGCCUGUAAUCCCAGCACGUUGGGAGGCUGAGGUGGGCAGAUCACCUGAGGUCAGGAGUUCGAGACCAGCCUGGCCAACAUGGUGUAAUUUCUACUAAAAUUACAAAAUUAGCCGGGCGUGGUGGUGGACGCCUGUAAUACCAGCUACUCGGGAGGCCGAGGCAGGAGAGUCACUUGAACCUGGGAGGUGGAGGUUGUAGUGAGCCAAGAUCACGCCACUGCACUCCAGCCUGUGCAAAAAGCGUGAAACUCUGUCUCAAAACAAAUAAAAAUAAAAAAUAAAUAAAAUGUUUAAUGCUUAUGGGUACAUAAUUAUCUGUGUCUAUGGGGAACACGUGACGUGUUGAUCACACCAGGGUAAUUGGGGCCACUGUCACCUCGAGCCUUUAUCAUUUCCUUGUAUUAGGAGCAUUCCAGUCCACUUUUCAGUUAUUUAAAAAUAUGCAAUAAAUUCUUGUUAACAAUAGUCACCCUAUUGUGCUACCAAAUAUCUGAUCUUAUUCCUUCCAUGUAAUUAUGUUUGUACCUAUUAACCAUCCCCUCACCACCCCCCUACUCCCCACCGCCCUUCCCAGCCUCUGGGAAUAUCUCCAUCAUUCUAGUCUCCAUCUCCGUAAGUUCCACUGUUUUCCAGCUCCCACAUAUGAACUGAAUGAUCUCUAAGACUGGGAAAGAGCCCUGAGACCCCACAAGAACAGUUGCUCUGGGGCCACAGGGAGCGGCUGCAGGUUGCAGGGCAGAGCUGGAGACAAGGCCAUGGCUCAUGAAGAUGCCGACCUGGAGGCAGAGGCAGAGGACGUUGGGUGCCGCUGGGGCCAUGCAGAGCCAGGACCAUGGCUCUGGGAGACGGAGGUGGACAAGGCCAGGAGAUACUGAGCAGGCGGCCACAUGAUCCACAAGGGGCGGCAGAUGUGUUGCGACAGAAGCAGGGCCCCACGAUCCAGAGCCUCAUGGGGGAAGAAGUAAGAAAAGAAGGGUCAGCAGUGGGCAGAGACAGCGAGGGGCUGGCAGGAGGGCAGAGUGCACCCUCUGGAGGAGACCAGGCUCUGCCCAUUGGGCCACUCAAAGUCAUGGGUAGGGAGCGCAUCUUCCAGUGCCCAGGGUCUUGCUGUGAAAGUAAGUGGGGUCCAACUGAAGCCCUCUAACUCCAGGAGCUCACGCCAAGCCCCGUCCACUGACCAUGUCCACGCCUCACCCGUGUGCCCCCCGACCACAUCCAUGCAUUACCCAUGUGCCCCUCUGACCACAUCUGUGCCCCAUGGGGCCAGAAAACAGCUGCUGAUGCCCCAAAGCCCAGAGAAGUUCCUUGUGGCUUCAUUUUCCCUCGUCCCUAGGAGGCUGGAAGUCCUCAUUUUGGACAAUUGCAUUUUUAAAACUUUAAAUUAUUACAAGUAAUACACCCCAAACCACCCAGAAUGCUUGCCUUGCCCCAGUCGUGCUCCCUGACACGUGUGUGCAUGUACGUGAGCAUGGUGCAUAUGUGUGCAGGUCAUGGAUGUUCGUGUGCAUCUUUGCACUCUCUUCCGCCCCUGCUUCUUCCUUUACUGCCUAAGGCCCAUGUCAUGGGGACAGGAAUUUUGGCAUUUGACCUGGAAGCAUUUGCCCCACCUGGGCUUGGAGAGAGUUCUGGGCAGGCCCUCAAAGUUUGCAGGAGCCUCCAGAGGGCCUGAACAUAGCUUAGAUGCUGAGUGCAUUGCACACGCACCUAGAGCCAUACACACAAGCUCCAGGCCAUUGGCCCCGAGGCUGACCUCCCUCCCAGAAGGUGACGUCAACAACGCUGACUGUUGGGGCCACACACUGGAAACGGGCACGAGGGGGGCCACGCGCUGGACACGGGCACGAGGGGGGCCACGCGCUGGACACGGGCACGAGGGGGGCGGGCCCAGAUCAUGGGCACGAAGAGGGCCACAUGCUGGACAUCGGCACGAUGGGGCCAUGUGCUGGACACAGGCACAAUGGCAACCACGUGCUGGACAUGGGCACGAUGGGGGCAGGCCCAGAUCAUGGGCACAAUGGGGGUGAGCCCAGAUGGAAAGAAUGCCAGGCAUGGGCAUGUGGCGACCCCAGCCCUGGACGUGACACGCUCUCCCCACAAGGAAAGAGACGCACAGGCCUCGCUGGGCGGAGUUGUCCAAGUGCCAGACACACGUGUCCCGGCAGCUGGCACUGGCUUGGCACAGACCCGGCUCCCGGGGUCUGGCUUCUACAUGUGGAGCGGCAGGCACAG